ensembl:lncRNA
CGCCCGAGAGAGAGAGGAGAGAGAGAGAGAGAGAGGAGAGAGAGAGAGAGAGAGAGAGAGAGAGAGACUCGUAGACGCUGAACCUGUUUUCAUGCCUUCAGUGGAGCGGAGCGGGCGAUGGAUGUGAGAUUUUAUCCUGCACCCCCUUCGAGCGUGGGCUCCUGCACGUUAUCCACCGACUCCAGCCUCGCCUCUCUGGACUAUUACCACUGCAACAAGCCAGUUAUGCGAGACCCCCAAGAGCAGCUGGCUGGGUUGUGUUACCUGAAACGUAAGUCCUCUCAUGUUGUAUCAUUUACACCCAUCUGCAUUAAUGGAGUGUGUGUAUGAGAGAGAGUAGGUUCUCUGUGUGUGUGUGUGUGUGUGUGUGUGUGUGUGUGUGUCUUCACCAAUGAAUGGAAUCUUAAGCAUUGCCCCGUUCCCUUGUUCCCCAUCAGUAGCAGAUAAAGACCCUCUUAUAGUCCUCGCAUUGUGUUAACACACACACACACACACACACACACACACACACACACACACA